rnacentral:rRNA from 1 species
UAGGGAAUCUUCCGCAAUGGACGAAAGUCUGACGGAGCAACGCCGCGUGAGUGAAGAAGGAUUUCGGUUCGUAAAACUCUGUUGUUAGGGAAGAAAAAAUGUAUAGUAACUAUAUACAAAAGAGACGGUACCUAACCAGAAAGCCACGGCUAACUACGUGCCAGCAGCCGCGGUAAUACGUAGGUGGCAAGCGUUGUCCGGAAUUAUUGGGCGUAAAGCGCGCGCAGGUGGUUUAGAAAGUCUGAUGUGAAAGCCCACGGCUCAACCGUGGAGGGUCAUUGGAAAAUAAUAAACUUGAGUGCAGGAGAGAAAAGUGGAAUUCCUAGUGUAGCGGUGAAAUGCGUAGAGAUUAGGGGAAACACCGGUGGCGAAAGCGGCUUUUUGGCCUGCAACUGACACUGAGGCGCGAAAGCGUGGGGAGCAAACAGG